CAUGGCCCAGGAUGACGCUAGCUACAGGCUAACACAUGCAAGUCGAGGGGCAGCAGCAGAGUUAGCUUGCUAACUUUAGAUGGCGACCGGCGGAUGGUGAGUAACACGUAUCCAACCUACCCUUUACAGGAGGAUAGCCUUUCGAAAGAAAGAUUAAUACCCUAUGUUCCGUGAUACCCGCAUGGAUAUCACGGCAAAGAUUUAUCGGUAAAGGAUGGGGAUGCGUUCCAUUAGGUAGUAGGCGGGGUAACGGCCCACCUAGCCCGCGAUGGAUAGGGGUUCUGAGAGGAAGGUCCCCCACAUUGGAACUGAGACACGGUCCAAACUCCUACGGGAGGCAGCAGUGAGGAAUAUUGGUCAAUGGGCGCGAGCCUGAACCAGCCAAGUAGCGUGCAGGAAGACGGCCCUAUGGGUUGUAAACUGCUUUUGAAGGGGAAUAACGUGCGCCACGUGUUGGUGCAGUGCAUGUACCUUUCGAAUAAGGAUCGGCUAACUCCGUGCCAGCAGCCGCGGUAAUACGGAGGAUCCGAGCGUUAUCCGGAUUUAUUGGGUUUAAAGGGUGCGUAGGCGGAUGAUUAAGUCAGCUGUGAAAUACCGUCGCUCAACGGCGGCACUGCAGUUGAAACUGGUUGUCUUGAGAGUGCAAGAGGCAUGCGGAAUUCAUGGUGUAGCGGUGAAAUGCAUAGAUAUCAUGAAGAACCCCGAUUGCGAAAGCAGCAUGCUGGGGCAUAUCUGACGCUGAGUCACGAAAGUGCGGGUAUCAAACAGGAUUAGAUACCCUGGUAGUCCGCACAGUAAACGAUGAAUACUAGCUGUAGGCGAUAGACGGUCUGCGGCGCAAGCGAAAGCGUUAAGUAUUCCACCUGGGGAGUACGCCGGCAACG
rnacentral:rRNA from 1 species